GAUGAACGCUGGCGGCGUGCCUAAUACAUGCAAGUCGAGCGAACAGACGAGGAGCUUGCUCCUCUGACGUUAGCGGCGGACGGGUGAGUAACACGUGGAUAACCUACCUAUAAGACUGGGAUAACUUCGGGAAACCGGAGCUAAUACCGGAUAACAUGUUGAACCGCAUGGUUCAACAGUGAAAGACGGUCUUGCUGUCACUUAUAGAUGGAUCCGCGCCGCAUUAGCUAGUUGGUAAGGUAACGGCUUACCAAGGCAACGAUCCGUAGCCGACCUGAGAGGGUGAUCGGCCACACUGGAACUGAGACACGGUCCAGACUCCUACGGGAGGCAGCAGUAGGGAAUCUUCCGCAAUGGGCGAAAGCCUGACGGAGCAACGCCGCGUGAGUGAAGAAGGUCUUCGGAUCGUAAAACUCUGUUACUAGGGAAGAACAAAUGUGUAAGUAACUAUGCACGUCUUGACGGUACCUAAUCAGAAAGCCACGGCUAACUACGUG
rnacentral:rRNA from 1 species